CUUGGAAGUGUUUUCACAAUUUUGGCACUAGUGUGGUUUAAACUCAAAAGCUAAACAGAAUUGGGCCGGGGUAAUACUUGGCCGGGAGACCGUCUGGCAUUCCCAGGUGCUGUAAGGU
rnacentral:rRNA from 1 species